ensembl:misc_RNA
AAGGAAGGGGGAAAUCCCGAUGUCUUAGAAAUUUCUUUCCAAGUAUUUCGUUUGUGUUUUUUAACCUAUAAAAGAUAAUGGAAUGUAUUUUAUAGGCUGGAUUUUAUCUUGUCUCCUUUCACUCUUCUGACUGCACUCGGUUUUGUAAUUGUCAUUUUCCCCUCAGCGUUGGGUUUGAUUAUAUAGGACCAAAACAAUCCUCAGUAAAUUAGUUUGAUAAGUAUUGCCACUCUCAUGAUGUCCCUUUUGAUAAAUAGCUUAAUUAUAGAAAUCUACCU